ACACUAUUAGGUGGAUAGCUUGGUUUGGAUUGCGAUGAAGGACGUGGCAAGCUGCGAUAAGCUCAGGGUAGGCGCAUGCAGCCUUUGAACCUGAGAUCUCCUAAUGCGAAAACGUUCUCUUCGGAGAAUGCAGAAAUGCAAGCAUACGCCGGGAAUUGAAACAUCUUAGUACCGGCAGGAAAAGAAAUCAUUUGAGAUGCCCCCAUUAGCAGCGAGCGAAAAGGGCUCAGGGCGAACCGAAUCUUCCGUCGAAAGAUGGAUAGAGAUGUGGUGAGAAUAAAUAGCUAAGUUAUUGAAGAAAAGUUUUCUGGAAAGAAAUACCUCAGAGGGUGAUAGUCCCGUAUCUGAAAAUAAUAUGUUGUUUCUCGAUAGAGUAGGGCUUCCUAGAUAGGAUGUCUGAAUACGCGAGGAUUAACUCGCAACCCUAAACAUCAAUCCAAGUCCGAUAGCAAACAGAGUACCGCGAGGGAAAGCUGAAAAGUACCCAUAAACGGGGGUCAAAAGACUUGAAAUCUAAUAGUUACAUCUGGUUACGGCAUUAAGGUGUUGUAACGUGCGUUUUGAAAAACGAACCAAGGAGUUUAUCUAAGUGGCAAGGUUAAAAUGAAGCCGAAGCGAAAGCGAGUCCGAAAGGGCGAUAGUCACUUGGAUAAGACCCGAAGCUAGACGAUCUAAUCGUGAGCAGGACGAAGUUUUCCGAAAGGGAAAUGGAGGUCCGAACCAGUGUUAUGUGCAUGUACUUGGAUGACUUGCGAUUAGGGGUGAAAAGCCAAUCUAGUUUAGCGAUGGCUGGUUCCUGUCGAAAUAUGCCUCCGUAUAGUCUUAUUUAGUUUGGAGACGAGGUAAAGUACGGAUAGAGUUUGCAGACCCGCAAGGGUACGGAACUCUUUCCAACUCAGAACUUGUUUUCUGCAAAAAAUAGGAAUGGGGGGCAGCGCGUAAGGUGCUGUUCCGAGACCCGAACAAGGGAGACUAAAGUUAAGGUCCCAAAAAGUAUGUUAAGUGUGACAAAGGGAGUCUGAAACCUAAGACACUAGGGAUGUAGGCUUAGAAGCAGCCACCAUUCAAAGAAAGCGUAACAGCUCACCUAUCGAGGUUUUAGGCCCCGAAAAUGGACGGGGCUAAACAUACUACCGAUACUUUGCACUCGCAAGAGUGUUCUGGUAGACAGGCGCGGAUUCUGCGCAGAAGUUCUUCCGAGAGGAAAGAUGGAGCGGAAUCCGACGAGAAUCUUGGUGUAAGUAAGAUCAAAUUAUUCUGAGAACGAAUAACGUCGAAAGAGCGCGGUUUCCUUGGCACUAUCGUUUAACCAAGGGUUAGUCGGCGCCUAAGUCACACCUUAGCUGGUUGUGGCGAAUGGAAAUCUGGUUAAUAUUCCAGAACUAAUUAAACUCGUUAUUACAUAAAUCGCUUUGGGAUAAGCAGAGGUCCGGAAGGACUAAUGCGCAAGAAGUCUGUGGAUCAUAAUGAUUAGAAGCAGAGAAUUGCGCGUGAAUCUGCUGACUCCGAGAGCCCUUGAAAACUUUAUGUCUAGAGUUUAGUUAGCCGUACCUAGAACCGACACUGGUGCUCUGGCUGAGAAGGCCAAGACUAUACUCGGUGAGACCUGUCCAGUGGUGGUGUUUCAAACUUCAGUUCAAUGGAGCUAAGACCCAUCAAACGGCGGGCCUAACUAUGAGGCUCUUAAGGUUAAGUAACGCUAGCUUUACAUUAUCGUCGGUAAAACGGUAAUGCUCCAAGCUUCACAGUUAAGAAUAAACAGAAAAUAAAAAACCAAAAUGGAGAAAAUCGAGCUAUUUGCUGGAAACUCCGAGAAUAUCUAAAUACUCGUCGAUAAAUUUAAUUUCAUCGUCAGUAAAAAUUUUAGAUUGCGGACAAUCAGCAGGAAAGACGAGGAAAGUUUAAAUAAAGAAUAUCUGUAUAAGUUUUAUGGUAAUGUUAUCAACAACCGUGAAUAACAUACACAGAUAUGGUCCUGAAUGUAUGACUAAUCGUAGUUCAUUAGUAGACGGAGCAAGCUUAGAUGCGCUUGCAGAUUAUGUAUCUAGAUAUGAAUCCGAACUUAGAGAAUUUGAAAAAUUAUCUCUAGGUAGGAAGAUAAUUUCAUAUAUUUCAGGAGAUAAUCCAAAAGUUGAUAUGGUAUAUUUCAGUCUUGCUAAAAGAAGACUUGAACGAGAAAGCCAUAAGUAAUUCUCGAAUCCUCAGAAAGCAUUUUGUCGAAGACAAAUGCGAAGCAAUUAAUUCGCGAAGAUAAAGUCCGAACUUCAUAGCGAUAUGAAGAAUUGAAUUCAAUUAGAAUUCAGAUUAACAAAAUGAGCGUAAUGCCUUGUCGUCUGAAUGGCGACGUGCAUGAAUGGUUUAAUGAGGUGGUCGCUGUCCCUAACCAGAACCUUCUGAACUCAUCUACUGGUGAACACGCCAGUAAUGCCUAUUGGGAAGCAGAGACCUUGUGAACCUUUACUGCAACUUGUUGUUGUAGCUUUAAGGGGAAUGCAUAGAGUAGGUAGGAGCGUCGAUGUUGCAUUUUAGGAUGCAACGGAGCAACCCUGUAACACUACCUAUUUCCCUUGAAGUUGCUCACUCGCUUUAGCGGGGACACCAGCAGGCGGGCAGUUUGGCUGGGGCGGCACCCUGCAGAAAAGAUAUCUGCAGGGCCCAAAGUUAAGCUCAUCCAGGUCGGAAAUCUGGAGUUGAGUGCAGAGGCAAAAGCUUAACUGACUGCGUUUCGCACAGCAAAG
rnacentral:rRNA from 1 species